rnacentral:rRNA from 1 species
GACGUAGGGCGCGAGCGUUGUCCGGAUUUAUUGGGCGUAAAGAGCUCGUAGGCGGCUUGUCGCGUCGAAUGUGAAAACCUGCAGCUCAACUGCAGGCUUGCAUUCGAUACGGGCAGCUCGGAGUUCGGUAGGGGAGACUGGAAGUUCCUGGUGUAGCGGUGAAAUUCGUAGAUAUCGGAAGAACACCAGUGGCGAAGGCGGCUACUGGUCCGGUACUGACGCUGAGGUGCGAAAGCGUGGGGAGC